rnacentral:rRNA from 1 species
GAUGAACGCUGGCGGCGUGCCUAAUACAUGCGAGUCGAGCGAACGGACGAGAAGCUUGCUUUUCUGAUGUUAGCGGCGGACGGGUGAGUAACACGUGGAUAACCUACCUAUAAGACUGGGAUAACUUCGGGAAACCGGGGCUAAUACCGGAUAAUAUUUUGAACCGCAUGGUUCAUAAGUGAAAGACGGUCUUGCUGUCACUUAUAGAUGGAUCCGCGCUGCAUUAGCUAGUUGGUAAGGUAACGGCUUACCAAGGCAACGAUGCAUAGCCGACCUGAGAGGGUGAUCGGCCACACUGGAACUGAGACACGGUCCAGACUCCUACGGGAGGCAGCAGUAGGGAAUCUUCCGCAAUGGGCGAAAGCCUGACGGAGCAACGCCGCGUGAGUGAUGAAGGUCUUCGGAUCGUAAAACUCUGUUAUUAGGGAAGAACAUAUGUGUAAGUAACUGUGCACAUCUUGACGGUACCUAAUCAGAAAGCCACGGCUAACUACGUG